CCCGCUGCGCUUCGGCUGUUCUCGGCUGUGUCCGCCAGAGGGCGCUCGGGCUCCGAUGACAACACGCGCCAUUCGAUUGUGGAAAAUGCCACCAGAUGGCGGUUUAGGAUUGCUGCUCUUCUGAAAGGCGCGGUUCCUUCUCCCGGUCCAAUUUUCAAUUAAUAAAUCCAUAUUUAGUAAAACUUUUAUCGAAUUCCGAAUAGCGGGAACGCCAACCUUUGCGACCAUGAGCAUCGCAGCAGGUCAUCCACCCUGCUCUUCAGCUCUCCUAAUGUACUGCUGGGCUUCAUCCUAUUGUUUUAUUUAGGAGCUAAUGUUUUAAUUCCAGUUCAUUCUGGCUACAUCUGACACCUUCUUGAUAAUUUACCAGCUGUCUGAUACUGCACAGAAAGCUGCUCAGUAAAUCAAGUGAUACUUGAAUUGCAUUGGAAAUGCAUAAACUCCACAAAUAUGUGUCAAACCUAAAGACCGUGUUCUCCAGCAGAUGAUCCAAAGAGCGUCUUGUGUCUCAAUAGAAGCAAGAACAUCUGUACAGCUGUCUGUGCAAAAGGGUCACAUCAUCAACAUCGCAAAUUUGAAUUAGUAGAAAAAAAUCCAGAAUUGUAAAAAUAUCUUACUUUUUUGUAUUUUUAUAUUUUUUAAAUAUAUUUUUAAAAUCCUUUCUAUGCCCAGAUUUAAAUAAAAAUAUUUAUC